GUUCAGAGUCUUGUUUCAACUUGCAGGCUAUGUGUUUGAGUUCAGAGUCUUGUUUCAACUUGCAGGCUGUGUGUUUGAGUUUCAAGAGUCUUGUUGCAAGCUUGAGGCUGAUUUGAUGCUCCUCAUUGAUCUCUGAAAUCUAUUAGCCUUUAUUUUUAACCCUAAUUGUGUAAUGAAUAUCAUUUAUUUGCUAUAAUACGUCUUACUAAUUCUGUUUUCAAUGGCUUGUAUUGAUCCCGGCUCCGUCCGGCUCCAGGGUAGAUUGGAGGCUGUAGGUGAAUGAUAAAUGUUUUGCAGGCUGGUGAUGUACAUUGAAAGAGACAUCAGGCAGGCCCACGCCAGGAAGAGCUACAAAGCAGCAAUGAAUACCUGUCAAAAUGCCUCGAUCUGCUCAUCCGUCACGUCGUGCUGCAGCUGCCAGCCAUUCUGGAUGACAUGCUGUCCGCGCUGGGCAGUAUAGUGGGCAGGAAGCAUCCCUCCACUGUUCAGGCCAAGCAGCUGAAACAGAGUGUACCCAUGAUGACUGUGAUGCUCCACCUCCUCACCUCUCAGAUAUUCAGGCCACAGGUGUGACUGAGGAGUUUUCUUCAAAUUUGGAGCACUGCUGAAUCACAUAACAUCUAUUGAUGCCAGUGAGACCAGUUUGGGCAGUGCAAUAGG